rnacentral:lncRNA from 1 species
CAUGGCUACUUUGAGUACUCAGAUUCAGAUGUCAUCUUUUUGGCUGACCAGACUAAUAAUCACCGUGUAAUUUAAUUACUCAGUCAGCAUCAAUGAACUCUUCUGCUGUGCAUUGAGUUACAAUUUUUGAAUACCAGCUUCGUGGGCAGGUCCUGGCUCUGGAAGUUGUAGUUAUCCAGAUGCGGGUCAUAACCUCAGCUGUGCUUUGUGAAGCUACUCAGCCGUGGAAUUAGCUCCAGGGGUGCUUGUGCGUGUGAACCCGUCCUGCAUGGUCCACCCGUCAGCUAUGGCAGCCUGUUCAUUUCCGCCAAAGAGCACAUUGUCCCUACUGUCACCUCUCCUUUUCUUUCAUUCUCCUGCCACCUGGUAUGAUACCAUUUUCUAGGCCUAGAAAACCUCCCAUCUUGGAAUGAUAGGAAUUUU